rnacentral:rRNA from 1 species
GACGAACGCUGGCGGCGUGCUUAACACAUGCAAGUCGAACGGAAAGGCCCUGCUUUUGUGGGGUGCUCGAGUGGCGAACGGGUGAGUAACACGUGAGUAACCUGCCCUUGACUUUGGGAUAACUUCAGGAAACUGGGGCUAAUACCGGAUAGGAGCUCCUGCUGCAUGGUGGGGGUUGGAAAGUUUCGGCGGUUGGGGAUGGACUCGCGGCUUAUCAGCUUGUUGGUGGGGUAGUGGCUUACCAAGGCUUUGACGGGUAGCCGGCCUGAGAGGGUGACCGGCCACAUUGGGACUGAGGUACGGCCCAGACUCCUACGGGAGGCAGCAGUGGGGAAUAUUGCACAAUGGGCGGAAGCCUGAUGCAGCAACGCCGCGCGCGGGAUGACGGCCUUCGGGUUGUAAACCGCUUUCGCCUGUGACGAAGCGUGAGUGACGGUAAUGGGUAAAGAAGCACCGGCUAACUACGUG